UCGAGCAAUACGAACCAUAGUUUAAAACUUAAAGAUUUUGGCGGUGUCUUAUCAAACCAGGGGAACCUGUCUCAUAAUUCGAUAAUCCACGAACUCCUUACCCUUUUUAGAUCCUUCAGCUUGUGUACUGCCGUCGUAAGCAAACCUCUAAAAGUUAUUAAAGAAUGCAAAUAUGACAAUUUCACUCAUUUACGUCAGGUCAAAGUGCAGCCAAUAAAAGGGAGAUGAUGGGUUACAACCUAAACAAAGAUACAAAUUAUAGUGUUAAGAGCUAUAUAAAGGCGGACUUGGGAGUAAUUUUAGUCCUAAACUAAAAUGAAGUUAGAUCUAAGACAUGCACACAUCGCCCGUCACUCUCGCCUAAAGGUG
rnacentral:rRNA from 1 species